CGAUGGCGAAAGAGAAAAAGAGAGACUCGUGCCCUCGCCUGCUCCUCCCCCUCAGCGGUGACCCAGUCGCCGUGGCUCCGUCAGGGCCUCUCCCGCCGCAGGAUCCCGGCCUCCGCAGCCUUCUCCGCCCCAUCGCCGCCUGCCCGGUCUCCCCUCGAUGGGCUGAAUUGGUUUUUAAUCCUCCUCCUCCUCCUCAUGGCCUUCUCCUAAUUCGCCCUCUCUAUCUUCCUUUACUUCGGCCUUGAGUUCCCCGCGGAGGCGAAGAGGGCGUCGAGUGUGGUUAAGCUGAUGCACUAGAGGACGACGUUUCGGUUGCAUUCGCUCGAUGUGCCGUAUGGCUCUGGGAGCGGGCAGCAGUUACUUACUGGAUUCCCAAAUGUGGAUGAUUCGAAUAGUUAUUUGAUUGUACAAUCUCCACCUGAUUCAACUGCAAAACAGGCCAAUGUUAUCUCUAAUGAAACUUUCAUAUGGCUACAACAUAUGAGAACCCGAAAAUGGCUACAUAGCCACCAACAUACUUCACCAAUAACCGACAGUUUGGAGGGUCGAUCGACUUAAUCCGCUUGCACUCUCAAAUCCCGUGUCUUCUCGCUUCUCUGCUGUCAAGGUACCAAAUGAUGUCGAUUCUGCUGCACUAGGAAAAGGCCGUCACUGCUACACGAGAGAACAGGUAAAAAUCGCCUCACCCUGCUCUUUCUUCGUUCUUCUUUCGCUUUGGUGUAUCAUGUC